UCGACAUUUAUUCAUUCUUUUAGGAAUAUUGAAACAACAUUAUUAAUUGUGGUAAACCUUAUCUGGCAGUACUUAAGAGUGCAUCUUUGACUUUAUUACUCGAGUGAAUGCACCUUCAAACCGGUUUAACACCAACAUGUCACAGUAAUCAAUACCAUCUGUGUUAAGAUGUCGGGAAUGUGUUAGACGAAUGAUUUUGUUUUAUGGAGCUUUGAAGAGCGAUGAAUGGCACUAAAGUGGUGCCAAAUGGAUAUCUCAAACACCCAUUGUUGAUGUGUGAUGCUGAUAAUACAGAGACAGCUAGAGUGACAGAGUUUGAUGAAUAAACUUAAAUUAAAAAACAGAAAUAACCACCAUCUCUCUCAGAGGUCAUCUUUCUCAUUAUUGUGGGAAACCUCAAAGGGCAUCAGGAAAACCUUCAUCAACCUCUUUGUGCCCAGUGGCUUGUGCAACAGUGUUUCAGAAAUUAUCAUUAAAAUGGGGAUAAUGGAUGACUGGCCACACAUAUGGGGCUAUGGACAAGCUUCAGAGCAGGCUGCCAGGUGGUGGUGUUAGUAGUUUAUACUCCGGGUCCAGGCGUGAGCACAUUGAAGGGUCCCAGAGUGACAGUUCAACCACCCACACCUAUCCUGGGCAGAACCAGUACUAGGUGCCUUCACCUCUGCAAGGAACUGACAGUUUCUGUACAUGCCAGGUGCAGUGGUACAGUGCGAAUGGUCGUAGAAAGGAUUCA